rnacentral:tRNA from 2 species
GCGCGGUUAGCUCAGGGGUAGAGCGCCUGCUUCACACGCAGGAUGUCACAGGUUCAAAUCCUGUAUCGCGCACCA